CAGUCGCCGCGGUAAUACGAAGGGGGCUAGCGUUGCUCGGAAUUACUGGGCGUAAAGGGAGCGUAGGCGGACAUUUAAGUCAGGGGUGAAAUCCCAGAGCUCAACUCUGGAACUGCCUUUGAUACUGGGUGUCUUGAGUGUGAUAGAGGUAUGUGGAACUCCGAGUGUAGAGGUGAAAUUCGUAGAUAUUCGGAAGAACACCAGUGGCGAAGGCGACAUACUGGAUCAUUACUGACGCUGAGGCUCGAAAGCGUGGGGAGCAAACAGGAUUAGAUACCCCCGUAGUCCCUGUCUCUUAUAC
rnacentral:rRNA from 1 species